UACGUAGGGUGCAAGCGUUGUCCGGAAUUAUUGGGCGUAAAGAGCUCGUAGGCGGUUUGUCGCGUCUGCUGUGAAAACCCGAGGCUCAACCUCGGGCCUGCAGUGGGUACGGGCAGACUAGAGUGCGGUAGGGGAGACUGGAAUUCCUGGUGUAGCGGUGAAAUGCGCAGAUAUCAGGGGGGAACACCGAUGGCGAAGGCGGCUCUCUGGGCCUUACCUGACGCUGAGGAGCGAAAGCGUGGGUAGCGAACAGG
rnacentral:rRNA from 1 species